ncrna:Schistosoma mansoni type-P1 twister ribozyme
UCACCAACUCCGCCCGUAGCUCCUCAGAAGGCUACUGCCGGUCCCAAGCCCGGGUAAAGGAGGAGGGUUGG